rnacentral:rRNA from 1 species
CCUACGGGGCGCACCAGUGGGGAAUAUUGCACAAUGGGCGCAAGCCUGGUGCAGCCAUGCCGCGUGUGUGAAGAAGGCCAUCGGGUUGUAAAGCACUUUCAGCGGGGAGGAAGGCGGUGAGGUUAAUAACCUCAUCGAUUGACGUUACCCGCCGAAGAAGCACCGGCUAACUCCGUGCCAGCAGCCGCGGUAAUACGGAGGGUGCAAGCGUUAAUCGGAAUUACUGGGCGUAAAGCGCACGCAGGCGGUCUGUCAAGUCGGAUGUGAAAUCCCCGGGCUCAACCUGGGAACUGCAUUCGAAACUGGCAGGCUAGAGUCUUGUAGAGGGGGGUAGAAUUCCAGGUGUAGCGGUGAAAUGCGUAGAGAUCUGGAGGAAUACCGGUGGCGAAGGCGGCCCCCUGGACAAAGACUGACGCUCAGGUGCGAAAGCGUGGGGAGCAAACAGGAUUAGAUACCCCAGUAGUC